rnacentral:lncRNA from 1 species
AGAAGGCCGGUGUUCAUCAUGGACUGCUUUGAAAGAGGGAGGAAAAAAAUUAUAGGAUAGAGAGGAGGUCGAAUCUUUUCUGGAUUCGCCUUCUUCUCCGAUGGGCUCGUGUGGAAGAAGACUCUCGCUGGGAGUCUUCAACAUUCUUUUUUUUUUCUUUUUUUGAUUCUUCUUUUCUUUUUUUUUUAUUUUAUUUUCUUUUUCAUGCCCUA